rfam:Isaria fumosorosea ARSEF 2679 scaffold_1, whole genome shotgun sequence.
GGCAGAGUGCCCGAGUGGCCCAAGGGGUUGCACUCGAAGAACGGUGGGUCUAACCCACCAAGACUUGAUAUGCAAUACGUUCGCGUGCGCAGGUUCGAAUCCUGUCUCUGUCG